rnacentral:siRNA from 1 species
UCCAGAGUUUAGGUACUUUUCAUC